UGGACUACCGGGGUUUCUAAUCCUGUUCGCUACCCACGCUUUCGUCCAUCAGCGUCAAUCCAUUAGUAGUAACCUGCCUUCGCAAUUGGUAUUCCAUGUAAUCUCUAAGCAUUUCACCGCUACACUACAUAUUCUAGUUACUUCCUAAUAAUUCAAGUUUAACAGUAUCAAUGGCCGUUCCACCGUUGAGCGAUGGGCUUUCACCACUGACUUAUUAAACCGCCUACGGACCCUUUAAACCCAAUGAUUCCGGAUAACGCUUGGAUCCUCCGUAUUACCGCGGCUGCUGGCAC
rnacentral:misc_RNA from 1 species